UAGCCUUGACAUAUUUUAGAACUCCGUAGAGAUACAGAGGUGCCUUCGGGAGCUAAUUUACAGGUGCUGCACGGCUGUCGUCAGCUCGUGUCGUGAGAUGUUGGGUUAAGUCCCGCAACGAGCGCAACCCUCGUCACUAGUUACUAACGGUUCGGCCGAGGACUCUAGUGAGACUGCCUUCGUAAGGAGGAGGAAGGUGAGGACGACGUCAAGUCAUCAUGGCCCUUACGGCUAGGGCAACACACGUGCUACAAUGGCCAGGACAGUGAGACGCGAUACCGUGAGGUGGAGCAAAUCUAUAAACCUGGUCUCAGUUCGGAUUGUAGUCUGCAACUCGACUACAUGAAGCUGGAAUCACUAGUAAUCGUAGAUCAGCUAUGCUACGGUGAAUACGUUCCCGGGUCU
rnacentral:rRNA from 1 species